AUGCCCUCAACUUAUGGCAAGUUUUAUUUACCACCUAUUUUAUUUAAAAAUUUUUAGUUAGAUCCUUUAAGUUCAUUAAGUGUUGCAAUGUGAUCCCGAGCACCAUUUGACACCUAAUAACAUUAAGACACCUUCUAAAAUGACUAAAUUUGCCCCUCUACGAGUGAUAAACUCCACCCAUCUCUUGAGUGCCUCGUUAGCUCACUGAUUUAACCACAAUAUAUUUGUUGUCACCGAUUUGGUGGAUUGAAAACACUCCUCUCCUUUACUGAUUUGGUUGGUUUUUAUCCUUUUUUUCUCACCCUCUCGACACCCACAACGAUUAUUGCACCCAUGCAUACCAGCACUGUCCUCCAACA
rnacentral:lncRNA from 1 species